CUACGGGCGGCACCAGUGAGGAAUAUUGCACAAUGGGGGGAACCCUGAUGCAGCAAAGCCGCGUGGAGGAUGACGCAUUUCGGUGUGUAAACUCCUUUUAUAUGUCAAGAAAAUGACGGUAGCAUAUGAAUAAGCACCGGCUAACUCCGUGCCAGCAGCCGCGGUAAUAGGAGGGUGCAAGCGUUACUCGGAAUCACUGGGCGUAAAGGACGCGUAGGCGGGUUGGAAAGUCAGGUGUGAAAUCCUACAGCUUAACUGUAGAACUGCACUUGAAACUUCUAAUCUAGAGUAUGGGAGGGGGAGAUGGAAUUAGUGGUGUAGGGGUAAAAUCCGUAGAUAUCACUAGGAAUACCUAAAGCGAAGGCGAUCUCCUGGAACAUUACUGACGCUAAGGCGUGAAAGCGUGGGGAGCAAACAGGAUUAGAUACCCGGGUAGUC
rnacentral:rRNA from 1 species